GACGAACGCUGGCGGCGUGCCUAAUACAUGCAAGUCGAGCGAACCAAUAAGAAGCGUGCGUUUUGUUGGUUAGCGGCGGACGGGUGAGUAACACGUGGGUAACCUGCCUGUAAGACCGGGAGAACUCAGGGAAACCGGUGCUAAUACAGGAUAGAUGAUCUUUCCGCAUGGAGAGAUAAGGAAAGAUGGCGAUUGCCAUCACUGACAGAUGGGCCCGCGGCGCAUUAGCUAGGUGGGGAGGUGACGGCUCACCAAGGCGACGAUGCGUAGCCGACCUGAGAGGGUGGUCGGCCCCCCUGGGAGUGACACACGGCCCAGCCUCCUACGGACGGCAGGCGUAAGUAAUCUACAGCAGUCGACGAACGUAUGACGGAGCCACGCAGGUUGAGCGAAGAAGGUCUUCGGUUCGUAAAGCUCUCUUGUUAGGGAAGAACAAGUAUCGGAGGACAUGCCGGUACCUUCACGGUACCUGACGAGAAAGCCACGGCUAACUCCUU
rnacentral:rRNA from 1 species